rnacentral:rRNA from 1 species
AUUGAACGCUGGCGGCAGGCCUAACACAUGCAAGUCGAACGGUAACAGGAAGACGCUUGCUUCUUUGCUGACGAGUGGCGGACGGGUGAGUCAUGUCUGGGAAACUGCCUGAUGGAGGGGGAUAACUACUGGAAACGGUAGCUACUACCGCAUAACUUCGCCAGACCAAAGAGGGGGACCUUCGUGCCUCUUGCCAUCGGAUGUGCCCAGCUGGGCUUAGCUAGUAGGUGGGGUAACGGCUCACCUAGGCGACGAUCCCUAGCUGGUCUGAGAGGAUGACCAGCCACACUGGAACUGGGACACGGUCCAGACUCCUACGGGAGGCAGCAGUGGGGAAUAUUGCACAAUGGGCGCAAGCCUGAUGCAGCCAUGCCGCGUGUAUGAAGAAGGCCUUCGGGUUGUAAAGUACUUUCAGCGGGGAGGAAGGGAGUAAAGUUAAUACCUUGGCUCAUUGACGUUACCCGCAGAAGAAGCACCGGCUAACUCCGUG